GGGGCGAUGAUGAGUGGCGCAGGGGUACGUACCUCAGCUGAUAAUGGGAGCUGAGUGCUGACACCUCAGAUCAGUGGGCAUGUGGUCUGCUGGUUGUAGGGUGUCAGUACGAAACAGACGCCUCGACUGAGCCCU